rnacentral:rRNA from 1 species
AACGAACGCUGGCGGCAUGCCUAACACAUGCAAGUCGAACGAUGCCUUCGGGCAUAGUGGCGCACGGGUGCGUAACGCGUGGGAAUCUGCCUUUCGGUUCGGAAUAACUCAGGGAAACUUGAGCUAAUACCGGAUAACGUCGCAAGACCAAAGAUUUAUCACCGAAAGAUGAGCCCGCGUAGGAUUAGCUAGUUGGUGAGGUAAAGGCUCACCAAGGCGACGAUCCUUAGCUGGUCUGAGAGGAUGAUCAGCCACACUGGGACUGAGACACGGCCCAGACUCCUACGGGAGGCAGCAGUGGGGAAUAUUGGACAAUGGGCGAAAGCCUGAUCCAGCAAUGCCGCGUGAGUGAUGGAGGCCUUAGGGUUGUAAAGCUCUUUUACCCGGGAAGAUAAUGACGGUACCGGGAGAAUAAGCCCCGGCUAACUCCGUG